rnacentral:misc_RNA from 1 species
AACUUGCGUAAGCUGAGAAACUUCAGAACAGCCAACAAAUAACAAUAAUUAGCUUUCCAAGACAUCUGAUUACAUUUCAGGUUUAAAUUCUAUUAAAAAAAUAUAUACACAAUGGAACUACAUUAUGUUAUACAUCUGAAAUACAUUAUUAUACAUCUGAAUUGCAAUGUAUUGCUCUUAUAAUAGUGUUAAAAGAACUUGGGUGAAUCUGGGCUAAGGAAGAAUGCAAACUAGCAUAUGUAUAUGUAUUCCAAUUAUUGUAUAUACAUAUACAUAUAUACUGAUAUAUCAAUUAAAAGGAACAUCUAACCUAACAAAACUGUGA